rnacentral:misc_RNA from 1 species
CCUGUUAGUCAGAAUGUAGCCAUCUGCUGCCAAUACUGUAGGUAAGACUGCGGACAUCUCUUUGAGUGUGCUUCAGUUACAAGAUGAACCUCAGUGGCUGUAGUGUAGCGCUUGCCUUACUUUUAGUGGGUGCUGUGCCAACAGUAUACUCUAUUCCGGCAGUUGGAACACCAACUCGCUUCGUCACCGACAAACUGCCAGAACAAAACAGCCCAUCAACUGUGCUAUCAAGCAGGAAUGGAAACUUCAUGGCUUCUGUUGCGAACGGCUAUGUAGGCACAGUGAUUUACAGCGAUACAGUGCAUGUAUCGGGUGUUUAUAAUGGCAAGGCUUACCAGAAGAAGUAUCCGAUCUACCCAAUAGACCUUUAUGAACAUCCUCAUAGAGCGCGCAUUCCUUCGACAGCUUCUCUUAAUUUUAAGAUCAGGAAGACCCCUGGGAAUACCUCAUAUGCGCUGGACGUGUACGAGGGAGUCUUUUACAAGUGGUUUGAGGCGGUUAAUUUGACUGUGGAGCAAAGGAUUUAUGCGCACAGAACCAGGAAGAAUCUCUUGAUUGUGGAACUAACGGCGAAGAACAACGCGGGAAGAGAAUUUUUGAUGGACCUUACUCCAAACAUGGGAUACAUCACACAGGAUAUUGAUUUUUACAUGAAAGAGUCAAACAGAGCUGAAGCUCUUGCUGGCGUAGGUUUGGUAAGACAGACUGAGGAACAUGGAAGUGUUCGCCCGAACGUGGCAAUUGUGUGGAAGUACCUAGAUUCUAGCCAUCCAUUGACAAUCACGGCUAGCUCAGAUGAGCAAACCUGGUACUACAUCACCUCAAUAGCCACAAAUCUGGACACCAAGUUCAACCCGCUCUCUGAAGCCCUCUUUCAGUGGGACGAAGCUAUGCUAGUGAAGGAAAAGCUUCUUGCAGAGCAUAAAGCUGCUUGGAAAGCAUUGUGGGAUACUGGCAGAAUUGAAAUCGAAGGGGACCUAGAAAUGGCCCAGGCUGUGUACGGCAGUAUGUAUUACAUUCUGAGUUCCACUCGACAUGACUGGCCGUACGGGUUGAGUCCCGGCGGACUUCCGGCUUCAGAGGAGUACAUGGGACACACAUUCUGGGAUCAAGACAUAUGGAUGUACCCCCCUCUUGUACUGCUGCACCCUGACUUGGCGAGGAGUUCUGUGAGAUAUCGAAAGGAACGGCUGCCCGCAGCCCGCAGAAUUGCUAAGGAAUACGGUUAUAAAGGCGCAAUGUUUCCGUGGGAGAGCUCCUUUACUGGCUUAGAGACCUCCCCAGGAGAAGUAUACGCCAAGAAUCAGAAUCACAUCACGGGAGACAUUGCCCUGGCCGCUAAGAUGUUAUGGCAUGCUACUAAGGAUCUUCACUGGUUGCGGGAGGUUGGAUUCCCCCUUACGUACCAGACUGCAGAGUACUGGGCCAGCCGGGUGGAAUACGAUCCUGAGAAAGACAGAUACAUCAUCAAUCACGUGAUGCCACCGGACGAGUAUCACUAUCCAGUUAACAAUUCCUUCUUCACCAAUGUGGUGGCUAAGAUAAAUUUGCUGUUUGCUAAAGAAGCCGCUGAAAUCCUGGGCAAGAAGGUGCCUGAGGUGUGGUCAACCAUUGCGGAAAAGAUUUACAUCCCCUUUAACAGCAAGUAUAACUAUCACCCUGAGUUUGAGGGAUAUGUUGCAAAUGUGAUAGUUAAACAGGCAGACGUUAUACUGGUGGGCUUUCCCUUGAUGUAUCAAAUGGAUAAACAAGUCCGAUAUAACGACUUGACUUUUUAUGAGAGGCUUACAGAUCCUGAAGGACCCGCCAUGACUCAUGCUAUGUUUGCUAUUGGCUGGCUGGAGGCUGGCGAGGAAAAGAAAGCUGAAACAGCCUUUUUCAAGAACUAUGCUAACAUCCAGGGUCCCUUUAAGGUGUGGUCAGAAAGGCGAAAUGGCAAGGGAGCAGUGAACUUCAUUACAGGAGCUGGAGGAUUUCUGCAGGCUGUUAUCUACGGGUAUGGCGGUUUCCGAAUCAGAAGUGAUGGCCUGUACUUCAAUUCUACCCUUCCUCCCGGGACGACUAAAUUAACCUUGAGUUUACACUAUCUGGGUUGCUCCCUGAAGUUUGAAUUGCAAGACACCAAUGUCACGUUCGCGUUAGUAUCCAAUGGUCCCAUAUCACCUGAUCUAGAAGUGUCGACAAAGCAAGGUGUAUUUGCCCUGAGACGAGAGAAACCUGUCACCCUGGAGACAAAGGAUGGAGUGGUGCGCAAGCGCGUGAGUACAAUACAAUCUGAAAUACCACAAAGUGUGAAAGAACUUCAUAAUUUCUAAAGAAGAUUAAACAUGUGUUCAUGACUAUUAUCUGCUUAACACGACCAGCGCGUGAAACACCGCGUGUAUCCUAUCCGGCCAGACAGAAUGUGUCCGUUCAUGAAUGGAGUCCUGCAAUGUAGCAUGGAGGCUGAGAACAUAGUUCAAUAAAAGAAGCGUGCGCUUGUGGGAGGGAUCCGUGCACUAUUUUUUCAAGAGAUUAGCUCAUGGAACUGAAAGGCCUGGCUGAACCGAGUUAAAUCGCAAAUCUUUGGCCGGAGGAUGGGCUCUGGAAAAUAGGGUGGAUUCCAGACCCCAAGAAGAAAAAUCAGUGUCUGAGUGCGUGUAACUUUGAGACUGCGCAGACGCAGAAUUGUGUAUUAAAAUACAUAGUUGAUAUCUGUGA